CUUGAGCGCCAUCGAGUGUGAUUUGCCGCAGGCAACGACCCGAAGGGCGAAGCGCGCAGAGCUGAUUAAUCCUUCCCCAACCACCA
rnacentral:sRNA from 1 species